UGGGGAAUUUUGCACAAUGGGGGAAACCCUGAUGCAGCGACGCCGCGUGAUUUAGAAGGCCUUCGGGUUGUAAAAAUCUUUUCUAUGGGAAGAAAAUGACAGUACCAUAGGAAUAAGGACCGGCUAAUUACGUGCCAGCAGCUGCGGUAAUACGUAAGGUCCGAGCGUUGUCCGGAAUCAUUGGGCGUAAAGGGUACGUAGGCGGGUAAGCAAGUUAGAAGUGAAAUCCUAUAGCUCAACUAUAGUAAGCUUUUAAAACUGCUCAUCUUGAGGUAUGGAAGGGAAAGUGGAAUUCCUAGUGUAGCGGUGAAAUGCGCAGAUAUUAGGAGGAAUACCGGUGGCGAAGGCGACUUUCUGGCCAUAACCUGACGCUGAGGUACGAAAGCGUGGGUAGCAAACAGG
rnacentral:rRNA from 1 species